rnacentral:misc_RNA from 1 species
AAUCUUCAACCUACAAGCUUUUGUGGUUUGUAGGCUUGGACUUGGAGGCUUGUCGGCCGUUAUUGGUCGACUCCUCUUAAAUGCAUUAGCUUGGUUCCUUGCGGAUCGGCUUUCGGUGUGAUAAUAUCUACGCCGCGACCGUGAAGCGUUUGACGAGCUUCUAACCGUCUUAUAGACAGCUUUUUAUGAC